GAUGAACGCUGGCGGCGUGCCUAAUACAUGCAAGUCGAACGAACAGACCUGCUUUUUCCUGCUCAGACCGUGUACUCGAGCGGCGAAGGGACACGUGGCUAGCCUAUCUUUUGGACUCAACUAGCUUCUAGAAACCGGAGCCAAGACCGGAUACCAGAUAGAACUGCAUGGUUGAGUAUGGGAUGGAGAACGGUCUUUCACUGGUAGGUGAUGAGCUCGCGGCCUAUCUGCUUGUUGGUGGGGUAAUGGACCACCACGGUGGCGACGGGCAGCCGGCAUGAGAGGGUGGACGGCCACAUUGGGACUGGGAUACGGCCCAGACUCCUACGGGAGGCAGCAGUGGGGAAGAUUGCACAAUGGGCGGAAGCCUGAUGCAGCGACGCAGCGUGGGGGAUGACGGCCUUCGGGUUGUAAACUCCUUUCGACCGCGAGGAAGCCACCUGGUUGGAAGGGUGGUGACGGUAGUGGUAGAAGAAGCACCGGCUAACUACGUG
rnacentral:rRNA from 1 species